CAAAAAGAAAAAUAUUUAUAUCAUUAUGUAGACAGAUGAUAUAGAAAGUUAAACAAUUGAAAAAGAGAUUUAUAUGUAUUGGACUGACUAUAAAUUACUUCCAAGAUCUUUCAUACUGAUUAAUUCAAGAGUAUUUCAGGCUAUUUUCUUGAUUCUACUGUGCUGAUGUGAUGUGGUCUUUAUUGCCUAAUGAUUCUCAUUAUUUAAGGCAAGGAUUAAUUUUGGUAAAUAUAUUCACAUCCUUGAUUAAACACUAAAUAUAUUUAACUGCUGACUUAGAUCCCAAAUUUGACAAUUCUCCUUAGAUACUAAAUUUGAUGGCUUCAAAGACCUUGCUGAAAUUUACAAAUUACUUUUUUUUUUUUUUUUUUGCUGGAUAGUUGUGAGAUUUGGGAGAACAUUGACAUUCUUCAAAUUAAAGUGGUACAUUGGUUUUGAGAUAUAAAGUUUGCAAACUUUGUUGAAAAUUCUUUGUUAUUAUAUAAGUUCUUUGAUUGGACCUAUUAUCCAUAAAAAAUGGUAAGAUUUACAUACUACUUCCUACACUGGAAAGUAAGCUUAACCAUAUUUUCUCAAAGACAAUUGAGAGACACCUAUUUAAAGGAUAAUAUUCUGAGAUAUAGAGAUAUUUUGGAAACUUCUCUCAAGAAGAGAUAGAGGGCUCCCUAUAAUUUAAGUUUAUGAUAUGAUGAUUUAUACCAGUCUUUUAAAUAAAGAAAGGGGAAAAAGAGGACCCCUUACAAAUAUCUAAUGUUUGAAAGCAUAUACUAGAUCUUACAAACAUUUUAAAAUUUUUUUCUUAAAUUGUAAUAUUGAGAGUUUUACUGUUAUUCAACAUGAUUCAGUAAAUUAAAUCAGAUUUCAAAGGAGAGUUGAAACCUCUCAUCAUGGAAAUGACUGAAAAGCCUGAAAUAGUAAGGUAAAUCUCCCAACUGCAGAAUUUAUAGCCAUGCAGCUUCAUGAGCUUUUCAGGUAAGUAAAAAUUAUGAAGAGAUUUCUAUGGACUCAUUCUCAAGUCCACCUUUAAUGUGCCUUAAAGUGUGGAUUGGAAAGUCCACUCAUGAACUAGAUUAAUUGUACUGACUGUAAUGGUCAAUUAUUCCUAUAUGUUGAUCUUAUGAUAAACAGACUUUCUGGGAGUAUCUUUUGAGAAAAAGACAGCAUAUAAAAAACCUAAACCAGCCAAUCAUGCUGGUCCUUAAAAGUUAAGACUAUAUUUAUUUUUUCUGGACAAUUGUCAGAAAGAUUAUUAAAAUAGAUUUUUUUUUCUAUAUGUACAUAAGAUAUCCACCAACAUAUUACUCUCCUACUCAUUCUACAGUAGGAAUUGACACUUUUCCUAAGUGAUUAGAUUGUGCAAGUGUCUUGCCAGUGCAACACAAGAUAUCUAGAAAUAGUGGAUAUAUUUUAGGCUGGUCUCCCAGAAUUGACAAAGCUGAUUAUGCAAGGAUGCCAUAACACCUGGACGUUUAUUGUAAUAACCUAACCCUCAGUGAGUUGGCACCCAAAAGGAUGUUUUGAUGUUUGACUUCUACCUUCAAAAUAUUUACAUUACUGACAGACCUAAAAAACUCCUUCAAUGUGAGAAUUAAGAGAAAGGGUGAUGAAUAUCCUGUAGCUGGUAAGAAUACAACUCAUCUUAUUGUAUCACUAGUUAUUGCCAGCUAAUAUUUCAGACCUAUAAUAUGCUCAAGUUAACAUUCAGGCUUUGAAACAGGU
rnacentral:lncRNA from 1 species